AGAGUUUGAUCCUGGCUCAGAACGAACGCUGGCGGCAGGCUUAAUACAUGCAAGUCGAACGGCUGUAGCAAUACAGCAGUGGCAGACGGGUGAGUAACACGUGGGAACCUACCUAGGGGUACGGAAUAACUCAGGGAAACUUGUGCUAAUACCGUAUACGACCUCAGGGUGAAAGAUUUAUCGCCCCUAGAUGGGCCCGCGCUGGAUUAGCUAGUUGGUGGGGUAAAAGCCUACCAAGGCGACGAUCCAUAGCUGGUCUGAGAGGAUGAUCAGCCACACUGGGACUGAGACACGGCCCAGACUCCUACGGGAGGCAGCAGUAGGGAAUCUUGGACAAUGGGCGAAAGCCUGAUCCAGCCAUGCCGCGUGAGUGAUGAAGGCCUUAGGGUUGUAAAGCUCUUUCGCCAGGGAAGAUAAUGACGGUACCUGGAUAAGAAGCCCCGGCUAACUUCGUGCCAGCAGCCGCGGUAAUACGAAGGGGGCUAGCGUUGUUCGGAAUUACUGGGCGUUAAGCGCACGUAGGCGGCAUUCCAAGUUGGAGGUGAAAUCCCCGGGCUUAACCUGGGAACUGCCUCCAAGACUGGGAGAC
rnacentral:rRNA from 1 species